AAACGAGAGAGAGUAGGAGUGGUGAAGGAAGGUACUCCCGUCAAGUUACCCGGAGGGACUCGAAGCUCCACAAACCGGCUGCAAGAGUAAAUGUGAGACCUGACUUCUGAGUAUUACAUGGACAAUCAGAUGGACUCAUCAGAGCACGCAUCAGCUGCCUCCUGUCAACACAUUUAACCUGACCCCGGGGUCAGGAUGAGGUAGAACGUCUGAGCGGGAUACACGCAGGUUCCUCGACUGGAUUCAGUGCACCGUCUAUGUACAGAGUGACGACCAAGAGUGACCAUGUGCUCGUGGACAACUUGCCUACUCCUCCCCCAGCCAGUGCGCCGCGCCUACCAGCGUCUUCAUUUCUGCGCUUGUAAACCUUUACCUUUGAACACAGGGUCAGGACGUGAGGGGAGGGGGAUCCCCGGCCAGCCAUACAACAAGUUGGCCUUGGCUGAUGGUCCGCUGCCAUUUGGAUUAGAGUAGCUAUUGCCGAGAAACAAGAACGGCCAGCAGCAAAAACAAUUAUCGUGCCGGACGGGUGGAAAAAAAUAACGGAAAGGAUCCUCAAAAUACACGAUUGUCAGCGUGGACUGUGUUAUUAGUGAAUGAGUAGUGAACAAUGCCCACACUGACAAUGCUUCUCUGGUUAUGCUUCUAUUUCUUAUCCUGCGAGUUGCGGAGGAGAGGAGUACAAACAAUAUAGUGGGUGACCUACAAGCACUCAUUGGCCUCCCAGGACCUGCAGUGGAGCCAGGAACACUCCCAUUCUGGCGGCAUUCAUAGGUGUCACCUGUGCCACUCAUUGCUGGAAGAUUGCAUCACUGCGUACUGCUAAAGUCCGCGCAUGUGUGUGUGUGUGUGUGUGACGGGCUGAUAAGUUGAGUGAGAACAGUCAGUGAAAGCAGGUGGCGCUGGGGAGGAAGGACGGACGGCUGGGUGGAGUGUUUUGUUUCGCACUGAUCCGUCUUGCCACACACACACACUAGUGACCAGUGUAUCUAUAGUUCCGGCAGCUUCUUCCUGCACCAAGCAGCACCACAGAGGCACAACAACUUAAGGUCAGCUGGUCGUCCACCGUGACUCCGAGAAGCUUGGCACAUCGGACCACCUGGAGGGGGUGAGGGCCCACUGUGAGCUGGGGAGGGGGCACUGGUACAGAGGAGGUACAGAAAUGCAUCACCACAGUUUUGCUGUGGUUGAUGUUCAUCCUGCUCUCCUCCGUCCACGUCUGCAGUCGCUCCAGAAUUGCUUGCAGUGGCGAGUAGUCCAGGUUCUUGGUGGAAACUGGGAUGCCCACAGUGCAGUCAUCCACAUACUUCCAGCGAUGGGGGAGGAGAGGAGUACAACACAAUGGAUGACUUGCUAGCACUCAUUGGCCUCCCAGGACCUGCAGUGGAACAAGGAACAGUUCCAUUCUGGCGACAUUCAUAGUUGUCACCAGUGCCACUCAUUGCUGGAAGAUUACAUCACUGUGUGCUGCUAAAGGUGAACAGAGGGAAAGUCUCUCUCAUUGCUGGAAAAUUACAUCACAGUGUGCUGCUAAAGAAAGGACAUAUGUAGCUGGUCAUUGUGUCUCCAGAACCUACAGCUGACUAGUUGCCUCAUAAGGACUCUCAGCGGACCAAACUAAGAAGACUCGUAGCUGGUCCCUCUCGUGUAGUUCUGCAUAGCUGGUCCCUCUUGUGUAGUUCUGCAAAUUGAAAGUAAAGUUACUUUUACUUCAUAAAA